CUGACAGUUGUUUUUAAUAAAAAAAUGAACCAAAAUCUCUCACGUUUGUAUCCCAUUCUCUUUCUCUCUGUAAGCAAACAACCCAUCUUCUCUACCGCUGGAUUGCUCUGUUUUUUCCCUUUUACAACAAACUCGAAUCUGGGUGUCAAACUCUAGUUGUCUCUCUCUCUCUCUCUCUCUCUCUCUCUCUCUCACACACACAUACACACACACACACACAAAAUCGCACACCCACCCGAUUGCCUCUUUAUCUCUCUUUCUUUCUCUCACCCAAUCGCACAAGUGCACCGUUGCAGAUCGCAGUUUCUGUUGCGAACUGAUUGCCAUUGCUGCCUUUCACCGAUUGCCUACUUUCAUUUUUAGGAGGUAUCGUGAAGUAUCUAAAAGCGAGGACCUUGUUCAAACGACAACGACGUUGAUCUAGGUUAAAUCAGAUGUAUGAAUUGUUCAGUGAACUUGGUAUUCAUCUCCGAGUCAACUUGAUGGGGUGAGUGACUCACUGUAGAAUACACAAUCUCUAUGCCCUUUGAAGUUUUAGGUAAAAAGCUCGAGUCUUUGUACAUUGGAUCAGAAUUGGGAUUUAUCUUCGAUUUAAUUUGAUCAAUUCAAAUUUCAGAUUUAUAAUAUUGUUAAAAAUAAUAAAUUCAGUCAAAGUUAAUUUAGAGUGUGAUGUAUGAAAUUAAGUUCUAGACCCUAUAAGCCCUUUGCUAUUUUAAUAUGUUGGCUGGCGGUUACCAGAAAUAAAUUCUGAACUUGGUUUUUAUUUUGAGAAGAAACACAAUUUGAUUUCUUUUUUUAAAAAAAAUUAGGCUUCUUUUGGUUAUGUUUAUAUACAUGUGCAUAUAUUUAUUAAAAUCUAUGAUACACAACCCUAAAAUAGGAAAAAUCCUAAGAAAUUGAUUAAUAUUUGUGAUGAAAGUUAAGAAUGGUUGUGGUGUGUUAUGUGAAUUUGUAAUAGAAGUUACGAAUGAUGAAUUUAUAGUGUGUAGUAAAGUUAAAGUUAUACUUUUUAUGGUGCUGAAAAUAAUGAUUUUUAUGAUUUACUUUACAAAAGGUUAUGGUGGUGUUAUGAAGGGCACACAAUAUGCAUCAUUUUAGGAAUGCAAAUAGUAGUAUCUCUAAAUAUGUCUAUAUAUAUAUAUAUAUCCAAGAAUUGAUUCUUUCUUCUUUAUAAUUUGUUUUUAUAAUUUUUUUUUUGGGUGGUAUUUUCCAAUUUACGUAAUUGGUUACUAGUUUUGACAUAUCAAUUGUCAUAUGAAAAACCACUUUAUCUAUCAUCUUAAGGAGAUUGUGAACCUAUCUAUGUUGUUGUAGAAUUCUUUGAUGUUGUCUGUUUUUAGGAGCCUUAUUUACUAGGAUUUUCUUUUCUUUCUUUUUAAUUCUGUGUUGGUGGAACAUUCACAAUUUGUUUGGGCAUGUUUUCUACACUUUUUUAUCUCAUCUUUCCCAUUGAUGGAUAGGGUGGUGUUAUCUACGUUAAUAAAUAUUUCUUUGAUGAUAAAAAAAAAUUAAAAAACCACUUUGACAUUGUUACUUCACUAGUUUUCAUUUGUGACCUUGCUAUGAGCCUAUAAGAGUAUACACGAAUGACAUAAAGAUUUUUUUGUAGGAGCUAUUUCCUUUAAUUUAUGUUCUUGAAUGGUAAUCCUUGAUUAUCAUAACUUAGUUUUUUGGUUGCAUUAACAUUGCAUCUUGUCCUGUUGGGCUUCAUUGGUACCUAGUUAUUUUGGAUAGAUUGGUUUUAUGAAUGAUUUGAUUCAUGAAGAUUGGGAAUGGUAUCACUACCUACCUUUGGCAUGAUAACUGGCAUCCUUUAGGUACCCUUAUUCUCAAAUAUAAGGAUAGGAUUGUGUUUGACCCUGGUUUAGAAUCACAGGCUAUUGUUUCUACUAUCAUUAGGGAUCGGAAUUGGCAGUGGCCCAAUGCUCAAACUUGUGAGCUUAUUGAGAUUAGGAAUUUUGUUAUUGGUGACAUGGUUCCCUCUGACUAUAAGGAUCAAUCUGUUUGGACCCUUUCACCUAAUGGUAUUUCAUCUGUUCAGUCUGAUUGGGAUUUGCUUAAAGUUCAUAGACCUAGAGUGACCUAGCAUAAGCUUAUUUGGUUUAAGUUUCAUAUUCCUAGAGUGAGUACUGUGGUUUGGUUGUCUAUUCCGAGUAGGUUGAAUACCCUUGAUAGGUUAGCUGUUUAUUGGAUUAGAAGUUCUACUUAAUGUGUUUUGUGUAAUCAUCAGGAUGAGGAUCAUGAUCACCUCUUUUUCAGUUGCAACUAUUCAUUGAGUGUGUUGGGCCCUUUGUUAGCUAAGUGUAACACAUCUUGGCCUAUCUUGAACUAGAGUAAUCUGGUGGACUAGUUGUCUAAACAGUUUUCUGGUCAUUCUUUGGCUACCACUGUUAAGAGACUGGUGUUUACCUGCACUGUUUACUGUAUUUGGCAAGAGAGAAAUGUUAGGAUUUUCUCAUCUGGUUGCUCUCUUGCUACUGUUAUUGUGAAAAAGUUGAAUCUCUUGUGAGAUUUAGGUUGUUGUCUGUGAACAAGUUUAAGGAGCAUAGUGCCAAUGAUUGGUUUUUGAAUUCAUGAUAACUCCCUCCUUCUGUGUUAAGGCUUCAUGUUCCUUGAUUUGCUUGUCAUUUCUCUCAGAUUUCUAAUACUUCCUACUAUUUUUAGCUUCCCUCUUGCAGGUCUCCUGGAUUAUCCUUGGAGCAGCACCAUAUUUCCUCUCUGUUUUACUUUGCAGGUUGAGCUGGUACUAACUUAGGGAUGUUGUAAGUUGAGUGUUGUGAGCUAAAACAGUUAGGGUAGUGUAAGAGUGUCUUUGAGAGUGGAGUGUGGUAAGCAUUGAGGGUUGAGUGCAUGGUGAGCUUAUAUAUGAGGGUUAAGUGAUGUGAGCUCAUAAAUCUUUUACAUAUCUAUGUGCUAAUUUUUGUGCAAGUUGUCAAGCUAGUUUAAUAGUAGGGAGGAAGGUUGAGCUUGGUGAGGAUCUAUACAUAGGUUCUCUUCUUCUGAGGUAUAAGUGUUGUAAGCCAGAUUUUUCUAACUGUUUUUUAUGCAGAUUGUCAAGCUGGCACUUAUGUGAAGGAAAUCUUUGUUGAGGGUUGAGUGAAUUUACUACAUAUACUACUUGUAGUGUUGAGAGUUGUUUGAAAGUUGAGAUUUUUUUUGAAUUGUUUGUCUGUUGUUUUCUGCCUGUUUGUCUCAUAUUUGCUGUUGCUUUGUUUCUGUUAUUGUCUCUAUUUGACUGAGAAGUUUGUUCAUGCUGCACCUGUUGUGUUCAACCUCCCUUCCCCCCAUAGUGUUGGUAUGUGGUGUUUGAGUAAACCUUUCAUGUGCAAUGUGUUCAUAUUUCUGGGUGAGAAGUGAUUGGUUUAUUUAGCCUAUUUGUUGUGCUGUUUAUUGUUCUAUUUGUUGUGUUGUUUGUUGUCCAUUCCCCUCAUAUUUCUGUCCAGUUUGAUGUGCUGCCUCUGUUCUGCUGUGCUGGUCUUGCCUGUUGCUAUAUUAGUGUUGCUAUGUUGGCCUGCUGCAGAGCUACUGGGUGCUAAGUGUCACUGUGUUUAGCAUGUUGUGCUAUUGAAAUCUCUUUUGUCAUAUUGGUAGCUCAAGAUGCUACUAGUUCAUGGUUUUGGUUUUUUUUUUUGAUGUUUUCCUGUUUUUGUUGUUCUGUAGUUUAGUGUGUUGGCCGAGAUGGUCAUUUUGUUCUAGUUUUGUUGAGGUAUGGAUGCUUUUGUUGUUUUUAGUUUGUUGAGUCUUCCUGAGGAAUGCCUCUUGUAUAUCUAUACAUUCUUCUGUCUUAAUUUAUAACUUACUUACCUAAAAAAAAGAAGUUUUCUGUUAUAUCAAUUUGAGUAGUUUGAUGGAACAUUGAGCUUUUUAAUAGAGUUUAUCUUUUGUGAACUAAUCAUUUCUUUUUUUGGUAAUGAGGUUAUCCAAGGUAUAUCCCUGCCCUAACACUCUUAACACAUUACACCAAAACUUAGCAGCACGUGAUCUACAAACUGACCAGAGCAGUUUAUAAAAGUAACAAUUAUCAACAAUUCGAUGUGACACUAUCUUUCUCCUUACUAAUAGUUCGCAAGUAGUGAUUAUAUUUUUUUUGCAUUGUGAACCAAUAGAAAACUUGGAACUCAUAACCAAAUGAUAUAUUCUGCUCAUGGGGGCUACAGAAAAUAAAUCAUCAUUUGCAUA